rnacentral:misc_RNA from 1 species
GAUGAAGAACGUAGCGAAAUGGGAUAAGUAGUGUGAAUUGCAGAAUUCAGUGAAUCAUCGAAUCUUUGAACGCACAUUGCGCCCCAUGGUAUUCCGUGGGGCAUGCCUGUUCGAGCGUCAUUUACCCCCUCAAGCUCCGCUUGGUGUUGGGCGUCUGUCCCGCUUCGCGCGCGGACUCGCCCCAAAGGUAUUGGCAGCGGUCGUGCCAGCUUCUCGCGCAGCACAUUGCGCUUCUCGAGGCACCGGUGGGCCCGCGUCCAUCAAGCUCACCCCCCCAGUUUGACCUCGGAUCAGGUAGGGAUACCCGCUGAACUUAAGCAUAUCAAUAAGCGGAGGA